GUCCUAAGGUAGCGAAAUUCCUUGUCGGGUAAGUUCCGACCUGCACGAAUGGCGUAAUGAUGGCCAGGCUGUCUCCACCCGAGACUCAGUGAAAUUGAACUCGCUGUGAAGAUGCAGUGUACCCGCGGCAAGACGGAAAGACCCCGUGAACCUUUACUAUAGCUUGACACUGAACAUUGAGCCUUGAUGUGUAGGAUAGGUGGGAGGCUUUGAAGUGUGGACGCCAGUCUGCAUGGAGCCGGCCUUGAAAUACCACCCUUUAAUGUUUGAUGUUCUAACGUGGACCCGUGAUCCGGGUUGCGGACAGUGUCUGGUGGGUAGUUUGACUGGGGCGGUCUCCUCCUAAAGAGUAACGGAGGAGCACGAAGGUUGGCUAAUCCUGGUCGGACAUCAGGAGGUUAGUGCAAUGGCAUAAGCCAGCUUGACUGCGAGCGUGACGGCGCGAGCAGGUGCGAAAGCAGGUCAUAGUGAUCCGGUGGUUCUGAAUGGAAGGGCCAUCGCUCAACGGAUAAAAGGUACUCCGGGGAUAACAGGCUGAUACCGCCCAAGAGUUCAUAUCGACGGCGGUGUUUGGCACCUCGAUGUCGGCUCAUCACAUCCUGGGGCUGAAGUAGGUCCCAAGGGUAUGGCUGUUCGCCAUUUAAAGUGGUACGCGAGCUGGGUUUAGAACGUCGUGAGACAGUUCGGUCCCUAUCUGCCGUGGGCGCUGGAGAACUGAGGGGGGCUGCUCCUAGUACGAGAGGACCGGAGUGGACGCAUCACUGGUGUUCGGGUUGUCAUGCCAAUGGCACUGCCCGGUAGCUAAAUGCGGAAGAGAUAAGUGCUG
rnacentral:rRNA from 1 species